AGAUUAAAAGUGUUACGAUUACAAGGAGAAAAAGAAGACGAUGAUGCAACGAACGAAUAUGCUGACGUGCUGCAGACGCGUUCGAUUGAAGUGGACCGAUAGGAUCUGAUAAAUCAGCAAGCAUUCGAAGACAAGCGAGAAAUCGCUGGAUUUGAUCGAAGAUGGGUCAUUCACGAGCCUACGUCCGCGUCCUUGAGGUCCUUUACGUUUCGUCGGCGUCGCAACGUCGACUCAGCAAUCGCGCACGUCGACGAUUUUUUUCGAAACUGAAGAAUUCCUGGCCACCGUUCGACCUGGUGAACAGCUGAUCGUAUCAACCUUGUCGACAAGCUGAGAGAGAGCCUCCUCGCUACACGACCCUCUAACUUAAAUAAGGACGCUCUUCCGGAUCAGGUAUGAGAUCUUCUGGGAUGAUUAUUUGGAAUUUUUUGAAAAUAACAUUUUUUGGACUUUGAUGGACUUUGUGGACACAGUUUACAUUAUUGUAUUAAUGUUAGAUAUGCUACAUUAAUUUUUAUGAGAACUUUUAAG